GGGGAUUUAGCUCAGUGGUAGAGCACUUGCCUAGCAAGCACAAGGCCCUGGUUUCAGUCCCCA
rnacentral:tRNA from 1 species